AAUCAAACAAACAAAAACUCCAAUAUCAAACCUGACAUCUCCACACAGCAGACUGAAUUGUUAUCUAAUCAUGUCCCAAAUUAAAUUAACCUGCUAAAUUUUUUCAAGUAUUUUCGCAGCUAUAAGGUUCAUGAACAAGCCUCAAUUUCCAAGAUCAGACUCAAAUGAUCAUCUAAAAUCUAAAUUACCAUGUCUAAUCCUACAUCAAGGAUAACAGUUAUGCCCCAAGUAAAU
rnacentral:misc_RNA from 1 species